CCUACGGGAGGCAGCAGUGAGGAAUAUUGGUCAAUGGCCGGAAGGCUGAACCAGCCAUGCCGCGUGAAGGUCAGUGCCCUAUGGGCGUUAAACUUCUUUUGUGCGGGAGCAAUAAUGGUCACGUGUGGCCAGACGAGAGUACCGUACGAAUAAGCAUAGGCUAACUCCGUGCCAGCAGCCGCGGUAAUACGGGGGAUGCAAGCGUUAUCCGGGUUUAUUGGGUUUAAAGGGGGCGUAGGGUGUGAGGUAAGUCAGCGGUGAAAUGCCCCCGCUCAACGGGGUGAAGUGCCAUUGAUACUGCCUGGCUGGAAUGCGGAUGCGGUGGGAGGAAUGUGUGGUGUAGCGGUGAAAUGCAUAGAUAUCACACAGAACACCGAUUGCGAAGGCAUCUCACGAAUCCGCGAUUGACGCUGAUGCACGAAAGCGUGGGUAUCAAACAGGAUUAGAUACCCGUGUAGUC
rnacentral:rRNA from 1 species